ensembl:antisense Gm12359 predicted gene 12359
UCAGACUCCUCCGCGCUCUUGGCGCCCCCGCUCUCCACCCGGCGCAGAUGAAGGCCCCCGCCGCGGCCGCCGCGCUGAGAAGGCAGCGAGCCACUCCCGCCGCCUCCGACGCUCCCGCUGCAGCUGCCGCCGCCCCGCGCCGGAGAGCCGCUGUCGGAACCCGAAGCCCCGGAUUCCUCGUCCUCCGUGUCCUGGGAAGCGCGCUGCCGCCGCCGGUCCGCCAUCUUACGGAGAACGGCCACCGCUGGUCAGCUCCUUACGCACCACGCCCGUCGCGGAGGCUGCCGGGAAGCUCGAGACUCCGGAGUCCCGGCGUGCUUCACGUCCAGAGAGGGCCGCCCUUCUUUCCGCGGGGCGGGGCCUGCGCCCUGCGGCACGUUUUCUGGAGAGCGAGAUGACGUCUGUCGGUGAUGGUGGUUUCCCUGCAACAGUUGAUGGCCAAGGAUAUCAAACCUUAAACUCAGAACAUGGCAGGUUCAUAGCCCUGGAGCAGCUUGUGCCUUUCCUUCUCGUUAUCCCUCUUCACCAGCUGCAUCCGCCUUUCCAUACGUUCAAUCCGAGCAAGGAGCUAGAGGGAAGUGACAAGGAAGGAUAUGUUGUGUUCUAACGGCAGGGCCAUCACACCCCAGACUGCAGUACAGUGCUGAGCAGUGCCACUCCAUGCUGAGUAACUUCCACAA